rnacentral:rRNA from 1 species
UUAAGCGACUAAGCGUACACGGUGGAUGCCCUGGCAGUCAGAGGCGAUGAAGGGCGUGCUAAUCUGCGAUAAGCGCCGGUAAGGUGAUAUGAACCGUUAUAACCGGCGAUACCCGAAUGGGGAAACCCAGUGUGAUUCGUCACACUAUCAUUAACUGAAUCCAUAGGUUAAUGAGGCGAACCGGGGGAACUGAAACAUCUAAGUACCCCGAGGAAAAGAAAUCAACCGAGAUUCCCCCAGUAGCGGCGAGCGAACGGGGAGGAGCCCAGAGCCUGAAUCAGCAUGUGUGUUAGUGGAAGCGUCUGGAAAGGCGCGCGAUACAGGGUGACAGCCCCGUACACAAAAGCGCAUGUGCUGUGAGCUCGAUGAGUAGGGCGGGACACGUGGUAUCCUGUCUGAAUAUGGGGGGACCAUCCUCCAAGGCUAAAUACUCCUGACUGACCGAUAGUGAACCAGUACCGUGAGGGAAAGGCGAAAAGAACCCCGGCGAGGGGAGUGAAAAAGAACCUGAAACCGUGUACGUACAAGCAGUGGGAGCACNAGGGAAACCGAGUCUUAACCGGGCGUUAAGUUGCAGGGUAUAGACCCGAAACCCGGUGAUCUAGCCAUGGGCAGGUUGAAGGUUGGGUAACACUAACUGGAGGACCGAACCGACUAAUGUUGAAAAAUUAGCGGAUGACCUGUGGCUGGGGGUGAAAGGCCAAUCAAACCGGGAGAUAGCUGGUUCUCCCCGAAAGCUAUUUAGGUAGCGCCUCGUGAAUUCAUCUCCGGGGGUAGAGCACUGUUUCGGCUAGGGGGCCAUCCCGGCUUACCAACCCGAUGCAAACUGCGAAUACCGGAGAAUGUUAUCACGGGAGACACACGGCGGGUGCUAACGUCCGUCGUGAAGAGGGAAACAACCCAGACCGCCAGCUAAGGUCCCAAAGUCAUGGUUAAGUGGGAAACGAUGUGGGAAGGCCCAGACAGCCAGGAUGUUGGCUUAGAAGCAGCCAUCAUUUAAAGAAAGCGUAAUAGCUCACUGGUCGAGUCGGCCUGCGCGGAAGAUGUAACGGGGCUAAACCAUGCACCGAAGCUGCGGCAGCGAACGUAUCACCCAAGACAACUUUACGGAGUUGACGAUUGACGGAGCGAAGCGACGUCAAAGCGUUCAUUAAAGUCGAGUUGGCUUAGGGAUACGUUCGUUGGGUAGGGGAGCGUUCUGUAAGCCUGUGAAGGUGUGUCGUGAGGCAUGCUGGAGGUAUCAGAAGUGCGAAUGCUGACAUAAGUAACGAUAAAGCGGGUGAAAAGCCCGCUCGCCGGAAGACCAAGGGUUCCUGUCCAACGUUAAUCGGGGCAGGGUGAGUCGACCCCUAAGGCGAGGCCGAAAGGCGUAGUCGAUGGGAAACGGGUUAAUAUUCCCGUACUUGGUGUUACUGCGAAGGGGGGACGGAGAAGGCUAUGUUGGCCGGGCGACGGUUGUCCCGGUUUAAGCGUGUAGGUGUGUGUUCCAGGUAAAUCCGGUUCACUUUAACACUGAGGCGUGACGACGAGGCACUACGGUGCUGAAGCAACAAAUGCCCUGCUUCCAGGAAAAGCCUCUAAGCAUCAGGUAACACGAAAUCGUACCCCAAACCGACACAGGUGGUCAGGUAGAGAAUACCAAGGCGCUUGAGAGAACUCGGGUGAAGGAACUAGGCAAAAUGGUGCCGUAACUUCGGGAGAAGGCACGCUGACACGUAGGUGAAGUGAUUUACUCAUGGAGCUGAAGUCAGUCGAAGAUACCAGCUGGCUGCAACUGUUUAUUAAAAACACAGCACUGUGCAAACACGAAAGUGGACGUAUACGGUGUGACGCCUGCCCGGUGCCGGAAGGUUAAUUGAUGGGGUCAGCGCAAGCGAAGCUCCUGAUCGAAGCCCCGGUAAACGGCGGCCGUAACUAUAACGGUCCUAAGGUAGCGAAAUUCCUUGUCGGGUAAGUUCCGACCUGCACGAAUGGCGUAAUGAUGGCCAGGCUGUCUCCACCCGAGACUCAGUGAAAUUGAACUCGCUGUGAAGAUGCAGUGUACCCGCGGCAAGACGGAAAGACCCCGUGAACCUUUACUAUAGCUUGACACUGAACAUUGAGCCUUGAUGUGUAGGAUAGGUGGGAGGCUUUGAAGUGUGGACGCCAGUCUGCAUGGAGCCGACCUUGAAAUACCACCCUUUAAUGUUUGAUGUUCUAACGUGGACCCGUAAUCCGGGUUGCGGACAGUGUCUGGUGGGUAGUUUGACUGGGGCGGUCUCCUCCUAAAGAGUAACGGAGGAGCACGAAGGUUGGCUAAUCCUGGUCGGACAUCAGGAGGUUAGUGCAAUGGCAUAAGCCAGCUUGACUGCGAGCGUGACGGCGCGAGCAGGUGCGAAAGCAGGUCAUAGUGAUCCGGUGGUUCUGAAUGGAAGGGCCAUCGCUCAACGGAUAAAAGGUACUCCGGGGAUAACAGGCUGAUACCGCCCAAGAGUUCAUAUCGACGGCGGUGUUUGGCACCUCGAUGUCGGCUCAUCACAUCCUGGGGCUGAAGUAGGUCCCAAGGGUAUGGCUGUUCGCCAUUUAAAGUGGUACGCGAGCUGGGUUUAGAACGUCGUGAGACAGUUCGGUCCCUAUCUGCCGUGGGCGCUGGAGAACUGAGGGGGGCUGCUCCUAGUACGAGAGGACCGGAGUGGACGCAUCACUGGUGUUCGGGUUGUCAUGCCAAUGGCACUGCCCGGUAGCUAAAUGCGGAAGAGAUAAGUGCUGAAAGCAUCUAAGCACGAAACUUGCCCCGAGAUGAGUUCUCCCUGAGACUUAGAGUCUCCUGAAGGAACGUUGAAGACGACGACGUUGAUAGGCCGGGUGUGUAAGCGCAGCGAUGCGUUGAGCUAACCGGUACUAAUGAACCGUGAGGCUUAACCUU